rnacentral:tRNA from 1 species
GUAGAUAUAGCUCAGUUGGCAGAGCGCCGGAUUGUGGCUCCGAAGGUCGUGGGUUCGAUUCCCAUUAUCUACCCCA